rnacentral:ncRNA from 1 species
UGAAUCCGCGCGGGAGAGCCCUCGGCCGACGCCGGGGCGCCGAAGGAGCAAGUCCCUCCCUUGAAUCUCUCAGGCCCAGUUACCGCGCGGGCGAG